rnacentral:miRNA from 1 species
CGGAAGAGAUCGUCGAAACC